UACGUAGGGGGCGAGCGUUGUCCGGAUUUAUUGGGCGUAAAGAGCUCGUAGGUGGUUUGGUAAGUCGGAUGUGAAAUCUCCAGGCUCAACCUGGAGGGGUCAUUCGAUACUGCCAUGACUAGAGUUCGGUAGGGGAGUGUGGAAUUCCUGGUGGAGCGGUGAAAUGCGCAGAUAUCAGGAGGAACACCCGUAGCGAAGGCGGCACUCUGGGCCGAUACUGACACUGAGGCACGAAAGCGUGGGUAGCAAACAGG
rnacentral:rRNA from 1 species